GUCGUCGUUGUCGUCGUGUGUGAACGUGGCACGUGUUGAAUUUUAAGUAUACCAAAGGUGUUUGUCAUUCUUCUGUGAACGCAGUGUUGUACACCGCCUGCUGCUACAUAGAAUCGAUGAUAGGCGGAGCAUAGAAUAGGGCUCUGUAGUUUAGCAAAACAAUAGUCCACUAAAACAGGGCCAGGCACCCUAAAUUGGGAGUAGGGAGGAGGAAAUUAAUCUAAAGGUAAGUCGACGACGCUGAAUCGAAUGGUGCUAAUAUUUUUGCAAUAGCAUCCUUCGUUUUAGCAUUUAUUUCUUCUCGUUUGCUAAUCUUUCUAUAUUUUUUUCUCUUAGAUAAAAAGCUAAUAAAACUGACAAAGAUUAUUCCUGGCAUAAGAAGAAGAAGAAAA
rnacentral:lncRNA from 1 species